UUUGAAUGUUGGAUGCCGCCGUGAAUCGCGGCGUUAUGAAUUACACAUUAGGCUGAAACAAAGGGUCCCACAAAUGGACCCCAUUAGCAUGGAGG